rnacentral:rRNA from 1 species
AUGUUUGGUCAGACCUCCUUGUCAAAGCCAGAUCUCAGAAGUUAAGCAGAGUUGGACCUGGUCAGUACUUGGGUGGGAGACUGCUGGAAAUACCAUGUGCCAGGGGGU